UAACGCGUGAGGAACCUGCCUUCCAGAGGGGGACAACAGUUGGAAACGACUGCCUAAUACCGCAUGACACAUUUGAAUCGCAUGGUUUGAAUGUCAAAGAUUUAUCGCUGGAAGAUGGCCUCGCGUCUGAUUAGCUAGUUGGUAGGGUAACGGCCUACCAAGGCGACGAUCAGUAGCCGGACUGAGAGGUUGACCGGCCACAUUGGGACUGAGAUACGGCCCAGACUCCUACGGAAGGCAGCAG
rnacentral:rRNA from 1 species